rnacentral:rRNA from 1 species
AGCAGCCGCGGUAAUUCCAGCUCCAAUAGCGUAUAUUAAAGUUGUUGCAGUUAAAAAGCUCGUAGUUGAAUUUCGGGAUCAAUUCGUCGGUCGUGCUUUUUGGUACGUACUGGUGUUUAUUGGUUUCUCCCUUCUGACGAACCAUGAUGUCAUUAAUUUGGUGUUAUGGGGAGUUAGGACUGUUACUUUGAAAAAAGUUAGAGUGUUUAAAGCAGGCAUUAGCUUGAAUACAUUAGCAUGGAAUAAUGAAAUAGGACGUUCGAUCCUAUUUUGUUGGUUUCUAGGAUCAACGUAAUGAUUAAUAGGGAUAGUUGGGGGCAUUAGUAUUCAAUUGUCAGAGGUGAAAUUCUUGGAUUUAUUGAAGACUAACUACUGCGAAAGCAUUUGCCAAGGAUGUUUUCAUUAAUCAAGAACGAAAGUUAGGGGAUCGAAGACGAUCAGAUACCGUCGUAGUCUUAACCAUAAACUAUGCCGACUAGGGAUCGGAUGAUGUUAAUUUUUUCAAUGACUCAUUCGGCGC